AUACCUUUCUCGGCCUUUUGGCUAAGAUCAAGUGUAGUAUCUGUUCUUAUCAGUUUAAUAUCUGAUACGUGGGCCAAUGGCCCACCCGGUAUUAAAUUAAUUUUUUUUAGGGGGAGGGGCUACCGCAGUAGCUUGCUAUUGGGCCUCUUGUGUGUUGCCUUGGUGUUGCACUAUAACCUGGGCUUGGCACACCCCAC